rnacentral:sRNA from 1 species
CCACCAAGCCUGGAAUAACUGCAAGGGCUCUGCUGACAUCUUCCUGAGGUGCCAAGGAAAUGAGGAUGGAGGAAGGAAUGAAUGUUCUCCAUGACUUUGGGAUCCAGUCAACACAUUACCUCCAGGUGAAUUACCAAGACUCCCAGGACUGGUUCAUCUUGGUGUCCGUGAUCGCAGACCUCAGGAAUGCCUUCUACGUCCUCUUCCCCAUCUGGUUCCAUCUUCAGGAAGCUGUGGGCAUUAAACUCCUCUGGGUAGCUGUGAUUGGAGACUGGCUCAACCUCGUCUUUAAGUGGAUUCUCUUUGGACAGCGUCCAUACUGGUGGGUUUUGGAUACCGACUACUACAGCAACACUUCCGCGCCCCUGAUAAAGCAGUUCCCUGUAACCUGUGAGACUGGACCCGGUAAGAGUCCCAGCCCCUGCAGACAGAAGCUGGGUGGACCUCGUUUAUCUGUUACGGAUGAAACUGACCUUGAGGGGACAUGAGGAGAGCCAUUCCUUUGUACUUUUGUCAUGCUCUUCAAUUGGCACAAAUUAAUUCACUUCUGCAAUACUUUCCUGAAUAGCACAGUAGUAUUGGAAAUCUGCCUGUUACAGAACCU